AAGACCUCUCGCUAGUAGAGGAGUUCGCGGCUGAUUAGCUAGUUGGCGGGGUAACGGCCCACCAAGGCGACGAUCAGUAGCCGGCCUGAGAGGGCGGUCGGCCACACUGGCACUGAAACACGGGCCAGACUCCUACGGGAGGCAGCAGUGGGGAAUUUUGGGCAAUGGCCGAAAGGCUGACCCAGCAACGCCGCGUGAAGGAUGAAAUUUUUCGGAAUGUAAACUUCGUAAAUUAGGGAAGAAUAAGUCCAUUCUAACACAGUGGAUGAUGACGGUACCUAAUAGC
rnacentral:rRNA from 1 species